AACCCACUCUCUCUUCGCAGCCCCUUCUCUCUCUAGCACAACCCAGCCCCUUCUCUUCUUCUCUGUCGAAGACGACGUGACCCAGCCGCUUCUCUUCUUCUCUGUCGACGACGACGACACCAGUCUUGCAUUGUUGAUUAAUAAUACUCUCGGUCAUCCCUCUCCGGCCCGGUCUGUGCAUCGUCCAUAUACUCUCGAUUGCAUAAGACGAUAUCUUUUUAGUGAGAGUGAUUCGUCUCCGGUUUUGGGUUCUUUGUGUUGACUAAAAGUUGCGCAAUUGUAACUCUAUCUAUUGGAGAAAGGUAUAAUCUCUAAAAACUUUAUAAUUCUUUGUUUAGUGGAGUUUAAUAUGUUAGAUAUUCAUCCGUAGUGAAGUAGGUUCUGCGAUUAAUUGUACUGCGGUCGGAUGGGUGGAAUAUAUAUGCAUGUUAGAAGAGUUUGAAUAUCUUAAAUAUUCAUCCGUAGUGAAGUAGGUUCUGCGAAUACAUGUACUGCGGUCGGAUGGGUGGAUAUUUUUAUAUUGUUAAUGUUAUUUUGUUAUUAUUGUAUUGUUUUAUGUGUUUAUUAGUUAUUUUUUUUUUUCAUGUUUUUAAUUUUUGGGAAUGUCCGAUUACAGCUGUUAUGCUGCCGAAAUUUUACUAGAAUUAGGAUAAAUUUCACUAAAAUGCAUAAAAUUCAAUAAAAUAUAUACACAUAUUUAAACAAAUAACUGAAUAAUUUUUUUUUUUUUUAGAAGUUUCAAAAUGGAUAGAAAUUGGAUGAGUGCGAAUAGAUUAUCAGCGGAGUAUAGUGAAGGAGUUGACCAUUUCUUGGACUUUUGUCAGAAGAAUGCUAAAAAUACUAAAUUGGUUCUUUGUCCUUGUCUUAAAUGUGGUAACAUGGAGUGUGUGGACAUUGCUAGUAUAAAGGAGCAUUUAUUUAGGAACGGAAUAGACAAGAGUUAUAAGGUUUGGGUUUACCACGGGGAAAAGAAUAGAGUUCCGGGCGAGGGAACGUCUAAGUCUAACAAGGUUAAGGGUGUUAAUUUGGAGUAUGAGGAUGAUCACAUUCCAGAAAUGAUUGGAGAUGCACAAUAUGAAUUAAAUGUCAAUCCUUUGAAAUUUCAAAGUUUUGUAGAGGAUGCCGAGAAGCCUAUUUACCCUAAUUGUAAUAGGUUUACUAAGUUGUCGACACUUAUUAGAUUAUACAACAUAAAAGCCAAACACGGGUGGAGUGAUAAGAGCUUUUCGGAUUUACUAGCUUUCCUAGUAGAGUUAUUACCGGAAGGUAAUG